AGGACGAACGCUGGCGGCGUGCUUAACACAUGCAAGUGGAGCGACGAACCGGGCUUCGGCCCGGGGCAAAGCCGCGAACGGGUGAGUAACACGUGGGUAACCUGCCCCAAUGACCGGGACAACCCGAGGAAACUCGAGCUAAUACCGGAUGUGUUCACUGUCCACAAGGACAAUGAGAAAAGGAAGCUUCGGCCUCCGCAUUGGGAUGGGCCCGCGGCCCAUUAGCUUGUUGGUGAGGUAACGGCUCACCAAGGCUUCGAUGGGUAGCUGGUCUGAGAGGACGAUCAGCCACACUGGGACUGAGACACGGCCCAGACUCCUACGGGAGGCAGCAGUGGGGAAUCUUGCGCAAUGCGCGAAAGCGUGACGCAGCAACGCCGCGGUGGGGGAAGAAGGCUUUCGGGUCGUAAACCCCUUUCGAGGAGGACGAAGCGUUCGGCAGCGAAUAGCUGCCGGAGUGACGGUACUCCGAUAAGAACGCCCCGGACUAACGUACGUGCCGUAGCCAGCCGACGGUAAUCCGUGA
rnacentral:rRNA from 1 species